CCCGCAUCGAUUGUUACCUUUCGGCGUUAGUCGGUCUUAUCGCUGUUGUAUCACCGGCUGACAGUCCGAUUCGUACUUAAGCCCCGGCCGGACGCAGUGAUAGCGGCAUGUUAGUGUGGGUUCGCCAUCCGUGACGCGAUUCCAUAGAAUGCAGAUAAUACAAUGUCAAGCCAGUGUACGUUCACUGGCUGUAUCUGAUAAAUGGUAAAAACACAAGCACCAUUUAUCUCUCUGGCUAUUUUGGCAUGUUUCCCAUAAUCAUCUGAUACGUUGGUUCACGGGACACAAGCAAACAAAAAACGGUCUCCAGCCGAACGGGUACAUCAUUUGAUCGACUAAGCGUUGCGGUUAACCCUGGCAGACUCACGCGCGAAUCAUCAUUCGGCCAAUCGGUGCUUGUGGUGAACGGAGGUGGUUUAUUAGCUUGACGGUGUCGAUCGUGGAGUGCCGGUGUAGCGUUGCUGUCAAUCACUUUCUUCAUUGCCGGGUUGUUCUGUUGCGAUAGGUCAUCGUACAAGUGAUUUAUUAAGUUAGAAAUGAAGUGUUCGAUAACUUAAAUUGUACAAGGAAAGAGAAGUAUUCGGAUAAAAAGAGUUUCUCUGCCAAUCGGAAUCGUGCAAAUCGAGUGAAUCAUUACGAACCCGUGCAUGUGUUUUGAGUUCAAAUAUGAUACUUCAUUUAUAAGUAAUCAGUGCAAAACCGUUUUGCACCUGCAACCGAUGCUGCGCUUAAGAUAUUGAUGAAAAGUGAUUAUCACAGUUUUCCAACAGUGUGUUAGCAGAUUUUAAAAUUCUUUCUACUCAAUCGGAUAGUAUUGAAUGUCCAGCACGUGUACAAGUCGUACAUUUUUACCAGCUCCUCGUCAGCUAGUUUGUGGAAACAAGUGCCCAGUACCUCGAUCGUUUGCGUUAUUACCGAUCGACCGACGCGUGUUAAUCGUUACGGAGCGACGUACCUGAAAAGGAACGAUAAAAUGAAUUCUUCUACCAUAAUAAUAGCCAUAUUAACCAUCAUUAGGUGAUGAUGAUCAGACCGCCAACAAAUCCGGCCAUCGACGACGACAAAAUGUAUGAAUUACAGACCUACCACAUCGAUAGCUUUUUGUUGUUGUUGUCGUUGCAACUGUUUUGAUAAUUUUCGUGUUUUUUUUGUGAAUGGUGUUAUUUUUCUCAUGUGACGAGUGAUGGGUUCAGUGUUGAACUACGCCGAUGUGAAACGGUCAGACGAGCGGCAGAAGUGUGCGGUGAAGAGAACCGGCGAAUAUGUGUGAAAUAUUCACGGCAGAAUCUCCGAUGAUCGUCUAGUGAAUCGUUUCAGCUUGACUUGAAACGGACGAGCGGCAAAAAAAAGUGUGUAGAAUCAGUGUCGUCACUACAGGGCAGGCUUUGUCUCGAGUUGAUACGCCACAGUUAGUUUUGCGCGAAAACAAUCCAUUUCUAUCCGCCCAACGUCAGUGAGUGAUGCGAAGAACGGGUGCACUCCAACCAGAUCCGAUCAACGCGAAAAUGAUGAGAUAGUGUCACAUGUCAACAUUGUGGCGUUUCUUGAAAGUGUAUAUAACGUUGAGUGAACAAAAAGUGAUAAUGAAAUAUUUUAGGCGAGAGUAAGUGCGAACAUUGCAACCAGUGGGAGUUUUGGAAACCAUCCUGAUAACAGGUGCAAUCACGUGUUGUUGUUGUUGUUUUUGUGUUGCGGAAUAUGUUUUAACGAGCCGAGAAUCGAUUACAUUGUGGUUCGCCAGGACAUGGAGGCUGUCAGUGUUAUGACACGGAGAGCACGCUCCCGGGAAAAACAUAUUCAGGAAAACAUCGAAUCAGAAAACUGCCACUUGGAUGACCUGUACACCCGGUACCGGCAACGGCUGCGAAAGUCGUUGUUUAUCUCCGGACUGGGAAUAUCGAUACUUUCCUGUUUGAUAUCAAUCGCCCUGUGCCAGCUGCAAAAAGCGGUUGUGGCCGAUCUGACGAUCCUUGCCGUUGCAUCACUGGUCCUGUGUGGGAUCCUAGUGGCUCUGCACUUUCCAAUGGUGAUGAACUCUCCAGUGGCCGCGCUCGGUUUUGCUCUACUCACCACCGGAACCAUCGGAACUAUCGCCAUUGCCGUUGGAGCUCAGCUGGCACCAUUACCACUGUUUGCACUCAUACUGGGGGUACACACGAUGCUGCCCAUCUCAUGGCCAGUAUCGGUAGUACUAGCAGUGAUCCUGUGCCUGAUUCACAUCGGCUACCGGCUUUGGCCCGGAGUACACGACCUGCCGACCUACUUCUUUUCGCAGCUACUGGCGGAAAUGAUCUUCCUAGCGUCGGCUACCAUCAUGGGUUUGUACUAUCGCAUCAUGUCCGACGCUGCCCACAUCGAUGCCGUCGAUGGAACCCGAACGGGGAUCGAGCAACGGGUUCGGCUGGAAUGCGAACGGGAACAACAGGAACAGCUGCUACUGAGCGUAAUACCGGCCUACAUUGCAGCCGAGGUAAAACGCAGCAUAAUGCUGAAAAUGGCGGACGCCUGUCAAACAGCUGGAGGACAAAGUCAAACACGCUUCCAUGAGAUGCACGUCCAGCGUCACAACAACGUGUCAAUCCUGUAUGCGGACAUUGUAAACUUCACACCCCUCUCGGAACAACUGACCGCGUCCGAUCUGGUCAAAACGCUGAACGAGUUGUUCGGUCGAUUCGACCAAAUUGCACAGGAGAAUCAAUGUCUACGGAUAAAGAUCCUCGGUGAUUGUUACUACUGCGUGUCGGGUCUUCCGGUGUCACGGCCUCAACACGCUGCCAAUUGUGUCAACAUGGGACUACAAAUGAUAGAUGCCAUUCGUUUAGUCCGGGAGGCUACAGGGUUCAACGUUGACAUGCGGAUCGGUAUUCACACCGGCAAUGUGCUGUGCGGCGUUCUGGGCCUCCGCAAGUGGCAGUUUGAUGUAUGGAGUGACGACGUUACUCUGGCGAAUCACAUGGAAAGUGGAGGCGUUGCCGGACGAGUCCAUAUCACGAAAGCUACCUUGGAUUACCUCGGUGACAAAUUUGAAGUAGAACCAGGAAACGGAGCAAGUCGGGAGUCGUACCUGGCGGAUCAUAAAAUUGAAACAUAUCUCAUCGUACCUCCCAAGAAACUGGCCAACGACCUCCUGAAGGCAUCGCCCAAUUCAAACACGCACACCCCCUCGCCCACGACAACCAUACAAAUCAACGAGCCUGAUCCGCUGGAUACUGCAUCACUAGGUGAGCUGCCUAAAACACCGAAAACACCACGAACACCAAAGACUCCGGACGAUCUGCGGCGGUCUCAUGGAUCCAUCUCAUCGUCCACCAUUCCGGAGGAGCGUGAGCAGUUGCUCCCCACUCCGGUUUCUGUUUCUAUCCUGCCCGUUCCAGCUAGCCCGAUUCCACCGCCGUCGCCAUCGCCACUCAUCAAACAGGCCAGCAUCACAAUCACCACCGAAACAAUCAACGAGGAAACGACUGAAAAUGGUGACGAAGCGGAGCAGCAGCAGCAGCAGGAACCGUGCAAAAAAUCCUGCCUCACCCUGCCGGUUGAGCCGAUCACCACCAACGGACAUCUGCCCGAGCGGGUGGGUAGCCGGAAGCUUUCAGUGCAAGGUUUGAUUGCAUUCGCCGAGCGACGAAAAUCCAACAGCUCCAUAUUCGGCGAUAUGCGAAAAAUGUCAAUCAGCAACAUAGAUUGCCUGCGGUCGCCUAUGGUAUCAACCCCCGGACCACUGAUGCGCAACCGACCGUCCACCAAGAUGACCAAAUAUGUCGAAUGCUGGGGGGCGGACAAGCCGUUCGCCAACAUUACUGAUUCUAAAAUGGCGAGAAACAUCGGACUAGCGAGCCUGGCCAUGAUUGAGUCCAAUAUCCUACCGGAGGAUGAACACUGCAGCGAGUGUCAGUGCUGGGGACCACCGAAGGAGUUGAAGCCGGUGAUCAUGGUGUACCGAAACAGCGCACGGGAGGCUAUGUACCGCGAACAACCAGACCCUAACUUUCGGUUCGAUCUCAUCUGUUCGUUCGUUUUAUUUUUAUCGAUUGGACUGAUACAAAUAGUAGUAUUUAAAAGCAAUGUAGUCGUUAUCGGUUCACUCAGCGCCACAACCGUUUCAUUAAGUCUAUUUUUAUAUCUUAGUAACUAUCAGAUGUCGGAGCUGUCACCGGCCGGGAACGGUGGUCCCGGCCAUAUUAUUGCCGCUAACAGAACCUUCCGGAUAGCAAUAUUUCUGAUUUCGACAGCGCUCAUUGCUGCUUGUGCCAUAUUUAGUGUGAUAAACUUCGAUGAUCUGGUGAUAGCAGAUGUUCAAUUGGUUAACAACACUACCGAGACAGUUCUGUUUGAGGUGGAAUACGCUCCGGUAGCACCGGUAUAUCUGUACAUGUGUGCUGUCAGUUUAGCAGCUGUAUCGGCCUUCCUUCAGCAAGGAUUUAUCGUCAAGCUACUGCUGAUGCUGUUCUACAUUGUUGUGCAAUGUUCGCUUUUAUGGCAAAGCUCACUCUUCGAGACGUACCAAAUACUGUACAAUUCAUGGCCUCUGGCAUUUCAGGGUGCCCUGUUUCUACUGCUGAUAGCGGCUGUGCUAAACUCUCUGGAUCGCCAGGGCGAGUAUGUCUCGCGAACCGACUUCCUCUGGAAGGCCAAGCUAAAGGUCGAACAGGAGGAGGUGGAAACGAUGCGAGGAAUCAAUAAGAUUCUACUGGAAAACAUUCUGCCAGCCCACGUUGCGCAGCAUUUCCUGAAAAAAGAACGAGCCAUCCAGGAGCUGUACCACGAAAGUUAUUCAUCGGUGGCAGUGAUGUUCGCGUCGAUACCCAACUACAAGGAAUUCUACGACGAAACCGACGUCAACAAGCAGGGCCUCGAGUGCUUACGACUGCUCAACGAAAUCAUUUGCGAUUUCGACAAGCUGCUGCUCAAGCCCAAGUUCAGCGGUAUAGAAAAAAUCAAAACCAUCGGCAGUACCUAUAUGAUUGCAUCCGGUUUGCGACCGGGCAAGGAGGAAGGUGCAACGAAGAAUAAUGACCAGGACGAAAAACGAACUGAGGAGCACAACGUGGUGAUGUUGGUUGAUUUUGCGAUUGCUCUCAUGACCGCCCUGGACCAGAUCAAUCGUGAGUCAUUCCAGCGGUUUCGACUACGAAUCGGUCUCAACCACGGACCGGUGAUAGCCGGUGUAAUCGGAGCUCAGAAGCCACAGUACGACAUCUGGAGUAAUACCGUGAACGUUGCAUCCCGGAUGGAUUCCUGCGGAGUGAUGGGACGAGUGCAGUCUACGGAAAACACAGCCAACGUGCUGAUGGCUGCCGGAUACUCCUGCGAGUGCCGUGGACCCAUUCCAGUCAAAGGAAAAGGCAUCCUUACAACAUACUUUGUAAGGACACCAUUCGACGAACGAAUUUAAAGCAGUACUACUGUUUGUGCCAGGUGAAUAUCGUCGCAGUGAUGUAAACCGCAUUGAGCACCGGCUGUAGCAGCACUGGGACAUGCAACAGGAAAAAUGAGUGAGUGAGUGAGAUAGAUUUAUUAAGGAUAGUUAUGGAAAUAGAGCAUUUGAUGAUAUGCAAACAACCGCGUUCACGUAGGGAUGUUCGUUUCGAAAUGAGGUAUGGAUGAAAUUAACAAAUUGGCUCUAAAUAAGCUACGCUGGUAGUGAUUUAUCUCGAUUUUACAUCAUCGAGCGUAUAUAAUUUUUUCCGUACUUUUUCACAAAAUCUAUCGGUUUCCGACGAUUUUACAUUCCUCGAAAGACCAAUAUGAAGAGAGGAUGAGAUCCCUCUUGAGUCAUAUAAGUCAUCUGCUUUGGUUGUGAAUAAACGAGCUGAGUAACCCUACUUGAAUGUAAUUAGAUAGUUUAAAGAAGAACUAAAACAUGUACCACUUGAAAAAAUCCUCUAGGAGACCUACAAGAUUUUGACUAUGCAAACAGCUGUAUGUGUAUAAUAAGCAACAUAGCUCAGAAACGAAAAAGCAUCUUGUGGAACAACCUUCAAUGAAGUGUAAAAAGAAUAGACUUUAAAAAUUAAACUAACAAUGUGAAACAAGUACAACACAUACAGAAGCACAAGAUCAGUUUAGGACAAAUGUCGACUUCACCGCCAUAACAAAACAGAUGCUCACACGAUAUUUGUAAGCAAAUCAUCUUCCGUCAGUGCCAUCAUCAUCUUCCUUAAUAUCUCAUACUUUUCAGAUCCAACCUAACCGUACCUAGUCCAAGAGCAAGCAUUUCAUAGCAUAAAUUAUGACGACUAGCAAUGUCUGUAUUCACCCAAUAGUACGCCGGACUCUUACAAUGCACACGUGAAAAAGAUAUUCUAACAAUUAUUAACAAUCAAAAUAAAUCAAAGAAAGUCAGAGAUAGCUCCUGUGACGUUAGUGUUUUAGACAAAAUAUUUUCCCUCUAUCCGUUCAUAAAAUGUGACAAGUGGCCAAGCCACACUAUAAAUACACUGGUCAAUUCGAAGAAAA